rnacentral:rRNA from 1 species
AACGAACGCUGGCGGCAUGCCUAACACAUGCAAGUCGAACGAGACCUUCGGGUCUUGUGGCGCACGGGUGCGUAACGCGUGGUAACCUGCCCUUAGGUUCGGAAUAACUCCCCGAAAGGGGUGCUAAUACCGGAUAAUGUCUUCGGACCAAAGAUUUAUCGCCUUUGGAUGGGCCCGCGUUGGAUUAGCUAGUUGGUAGGGUAAAAGCCUACCAAGGCGACGAUCCAUAGCUGGUCUGAGAGGAUGAUCAGCCACACUGGGACUGAGACACGGCCCAGACUCAUACGGGAAGAAGAAGUGGGGAAUAUUGGACAAUGGGCGAAAGCCUGAUCCAGCAAUGCGGCGUGAGUGAUGAAGGACUUAGGGUUGUAAAGCUCUUUUAAACGGGAUGAGAAUGACAGUACCGGGAGAAUAAGCUCCGGCUAAGUCCGUG